rnacentral:rRNA from 1 species
CCCUUAGAUGUUCUGGGCCGCACGCGCGCUACACUGACGACUUCAACGAGUUUUUUUCAUUUGAAAAAGUCCUUGGCCGGAAGGUCUGGGUAAUCUUUUAAAAGGUCGUCGUGAUGGGGCUAGAUUCUUGCAAUUAUUAAUCUCCAACGAGGAAUUCCUAGUAAACGCAAGUCAUCAACUUGCAUUGAUUACGUCCCUGCCCUUUGUACACACCGCCCGUCGCUCCUACUGAUUGAGUGUCUCGGUGAAUUCUUUGAUCUUCUGUCGAUUCAGUUCACUGAUCCGACGGUGGAAAGUUGAAUGAACUUCGUCACUUAGAGGAAGGAGAAGUCGUAACA